rnacentral:lncRNA from 1 species
GUUUGUCCUGUGGUGUUAUUUUACUGGUUGCAACUAAUUUAUCACUUUCCUUCACUCUUUCUAUCGCUCCCUUAUGAGCUCCUAUGAUGUCAGGGAAGCAACCAAGAAAUCCCUUAUAUUCAUGAUUCGUUUCCAUCAGGAAGUGCAGAUCUUUCUUUGGCUGAUCUGCUACAAGACUGGCGAUUUCUUCAUAGGUUUUUCCUGCUUCUGUUAUUGCUUCAUUGAGAUCAGAUUCCCCUUGGUAACCACUAGUGCUAAAGACCAGUGCCAGGCUCUGCAGUGCUUUUCCAAUCUUCUGGUAUUCCUUGGGUAGUGGCCCUGUACACCUCUUCCAGUGCUCUUGUCCCACUGUCAGCAGCUCUUUAACUCCAUCAUCCAUUGCUUUGGUGAACCUACCCACUGCGUCACAUUUC